ACCUCCACCUCUUCUUCUCAUGACUAACUAACCGAUAGCUUCAUAUGCUCCAGUAUAUUUUCUUUGUAGUAGAAACUAGAAGCUCAAUGAUAAAAAUGAAUCCCGAAUUUUUACAUGUACGCAGGAGUUCUCUUGUAUGCAACUUGAUAUGUCGUUGGUAUGGGACACAUUUUCUACUUCAUCAUAUGAGUGUAUGACCUAGAAUCAAUUCUUCUAUUUGCAUCUAUAUAUUUCCAAGCAAUACAUAUAAUGAGACUCCUUACAAGUUCAUAAAAACAAUUCAGCAUCUUCAUUUGUGACUAUACUCUGGUUUUGCUUCAUGUCUUCUACAAGUAGUGAUUUCUAUUUUGUUUUGUUAAUUCCGUUUGAUUUUUUCGGCCUUGGUAUCUUUCCACGGAAUGAUGAGAGAUUUUCUGACAGGAAGUAUAACACACAAAGCAAACACGAAGCCCUUGCAUCAUGUCUCCCAUGGUUCUCGACAAUGGAAAAAAUUAAGAAAAAACUUCGGUGAGAUAGAAACACAGGUUUGUUGUAUUUCACAAAACUGAAACAUGAUUUCCUUAUUGCUUCUGUUGGCAUGAACUUCUGUUCAUUCGUAUGCCAUCUAAUAGGAUCUUCUUUACACCAACCUAUUUGCAUGUUUAUAAACAAAGGAAACUACUUUGUUUGUAACUUUACACCAACAUAUUGGCAUGUAUAUUAGUAGCAAUGUAACUUAAAUGAACAACUCUAGCAUAUUAAUUAAAAUUCCUUGCACAAUACUUCUCAGUUUCUCAGGUUUAAGAACAAUCUAUAGCACAUUUAAUCGCUUCAGUUAGUAGUCGUGUUUUUCUAUUUAGAUAAUUAUUUUGUAAUCUUGACCCUUACUCUACAUUAAUUUACUUGUCGGUUAUUAUAUGGUUCCAGCUCUCACAAACUUCUCAAUAGCUUGCAGAUGAUUGAUUGAAUGCUUUUUUUUCUUCUGAUUAUUACACAUCAUCAGUUAUGUAUCAAAAAGCUGAAGUGCCCUUUGAUCAAUUUAACGUGAAGAAGAUUUGUAUGAGCUGCAUGUAAUAGUAACAUAGAAAUUAUGACUGUUGGGAGACAAAAAGAGGGCGGUUGUAAUGGUAAAGAAGACAAAAUGACUGUUGUUGAACCUAGCAUGUCUACAAAUAAGCAUAUGGUAUGGCGAUGGACAUAACUUUCUUAUUCACAACUUUCUUAUUUGCAA